AAGCAGCAUUUUUACCGGUAGAAUCAUGUGAGGUCAAAACAGUUGGGGAUGCACUAAAUACUUUUGUUGCUUGGCCAAAAUACCUUGUUAAAACUAGCCAAAAGAUACCAAAUCUAUCAAGCAUUCAAACACAAAACUCUACAACUCAAGUCGCUAAAAAGCAAAAGAUAUGUUUUACAACGCUAGAUGGCAUCAAAAAACAGGGAG